rnacentral:rRNA from 1 species
UACGUAGGAGGCAAGCGUUGUCCGGAUUUACUGGGCGUAAAGAGCGUGUAGGCGGUGAGCUAAGUCUGCCGUGAAAUCUCCGAGCUCAACUCGGAUGGGUCGGUGGAAACUAGCUAACUAGAGGACGGUAGAGGGGGGUGGAAUUCCCGGUGUAGUGGUGAAAUGCGUAGAGAUCGGGAGGAACACCAGCGGCGAAGGCGGCCCCCUGGGCCGCUCCUGACGCUGAGACGCGAAGGCCAGGGUAGCGAACGGG